rnacentral:sRNA from 1 species
AGCAGCCGCGGUAAUUCCAGCCCCAAUAGCGUAUAUUAAAGUUGCUGCAGUUAAAAAGCUCGUAGUUGAAUUUCGGGACCAAUAUGUCGGUCGUGCUUCGGUACGUACUGUCAUUAUUGGUUUCUCCCUUCUGAAGAACCUUGAUGUCAUUAAUUUGGUGUCUUGGGGAAUCAGGACUGUUACUUUGAAAAAUUAGAGUGUUUAAAGCAGGCUCGCGCUUGAAUACAUUAGCAUGGAAUAAUGAAAUAGGACGUUUGAUUCUAUUUUGUUGGUUUCUAGGAUCGACGUAAUGAUUAAUAGGGAUAGUUGGGGGCUAGUUAGUAUUC